rnacentral:rRNA from 1 species
UACGUAGGGUCCGAGCGUUGUCCGGAAUUAUUGGGCGUAAAGGGCUCGUAGGCGGUUCGUCACGUCGGGAGUGAAAACUCGGGGCUUAACCCCGAGCCUGCUUCCGAUACGGGCAGACUAGAGGUGGGCAGGGGAGAGCGGAACUCCUGGUGUAGCGGUGGAAUGCGCAGAUAUCAGGAAGAACACCGGUGGCGAAGGCGGCUCUCUGGGCCUUACCUGACGCUGAGGAGCGAAAGCGUGGGUAGCGAACAGG